rnacentral:rRNA from 1 species
CGUUGGUGACCAGCGGAGGGAUCAUUACAGAGUUGAAAAACUCCAACCCCUGUGAACCUACCUUUACUGUUGCUUCGGCGGACGAUGGCCCCCCGGGCCGGACGCCGCCGGAGGUUACAAACCCUGCAUUUUUAGUGUAUCUCUGAGCACAAAACCAAAUAAUUAAAACUUUCAACAACGGAUCUCUUGGUUCUGGCAUCGAUGAAGAACGCAGCGAAAUGCGAUAAGUAAUGUGAAUUGCAGAAUUCAGUGAAUCAUCGAAUCUUUGAACGCACAUUGCGCCCGCCGGUAUUCCGGCGGGCAUGCCUGUCCGAGCGUCAUUUCACCACUCAAGCCCAGCUUGGUGUUGGGGCACCCGGCCGCCCGGCGGUCGGGGCCCCCAAGAACAUCGGCGGUCUCGCUAGGACCCUGAACGCAGUAACUCGCGGUAAAACGCGCUUCGUUCGGAGGCUUUUCCCGGCGGGCUCCAGCCGCUAAAACCCCCUAAAAUUCUUAGGUUGACCUCGGAUCAGGUAGGAAUACCCGCUGAACUUAAGCAUA